GGGAUAGCUGAAUUAGAGAUCGGCAUCCUUUCAUUCUUAACACUUUGGAGUUUUACAAUGUCUCUAAGUACUGAAGCUACCGCAAAAAUCGUUUCUGAGUUUGGUCGUGAUGC
rnacentral:ncRNA from 1 species